rnacentral:rRNA from 1 species
UACGGGGGGGCAAGCGUUGUUCGGAAUUACUGGGCGUAAAGGGCUCGUAGGCGGCCAACUAAGUCAGACGUGAAAUCCCUCGGCUUAACCGGGGAACUGCGUCUGAUACUGGAUGGCUUGAGGUUGGGAGAGGGAUGCGGAAUUCCAGGUGUAGCGGUGAAAUGCGUAGAUAUCGGAAGGAACACCAGUGGCGAAAGCGGCUUCCUGGUCCAGCACCGACGUUCAGGCACGAAAGCGUGGGGAGCAAACAGGG